rnacentral:SRP_RNA from 1 species
CCGUGCUAGACGGGGAACUAGCGGUGCCCUGUAACCCGCAAUCCGCUAUAGCGGGGUUGAAUUCCCAACCGAGGCCGGGCCUUGUGGGACUGCCCGGGCCAUGUGGCGUUGAGGGUCGGGUCCUGUGCGGCGGAGAACUGCGAACCCCGCCAGGUCCGGGAGGAAGCAACGGUAAGCAGCCCCCUCCGGGUGCCACAGGGCAGCCUGGCCGGAGCCGGCAGGUUCGGGUAAGCCGGAAGGUACCGGUCGAAGGCGGGUGCACGG